rnacentral:rRNA from 1 species
GACGAACGCUGGCGGCGUGCCUAACACAUACAAGUCGUACGGGACCGGGGGCAACUCCGGUUCAGUGGCAGACGGGUGCGUAACACGUGAGGAACCUGUCCGGUGGCGGGGGAUAGCCGGCCCAACGGGCCGGGUAAUACCGCAUACGCUCGUUUGGGGGGCAUCCCUGGAUGAGGAAAGCAGCCGCAAGGUUGCGCCGACGGAGGGCCUCGCGACCUAUCAGCUUGUUGGCGGGGUAACGCCCACCAAGGCGACGACGGGGUAGCUGGUCUGAGAGGAUGAUCAGCCACAUUGGGACUGAGACACGGCCCAGACUCCUACGGGAGGCAGCAGUGGGGAAUAUUGCGCAAUGGCCGCAAGGCUGACGCAGCGACGCCGCGUGUGGGAUGACGGUCUCGGAUGUAAACACUGUCAGGGGAACGAAUACAGGGCUUCGAUAAGGAG